UGGACAGAAAUGCACGGCCAGCACCAGCAGGGGCCAGCCUGCUACACUUCAGCCCCCAGCGGCUGUCUUGACAGUAGCUGCUACCUGGUGAUAAGAAGAAUAACUCCAAGUCAUUCCAAGAGGCCAAAAUUACCCUUGUAACAAAACCAGAUGAAAACAUUACAAGAGGAAGGAAGAGGAGGUGGAGAAGAAGAACAAGAAGAAGCCUAAUCAAUGUAGUUUACUAUAAUAAGAAGCUAAAGAAGAAUAGCCAUAUAAUCAUCUUAACAAAUACUCAAAAAGCACUCGACAAAAUCCAACAUCAAUUGCUGAUUGAAACUCUUAGCAUGCUAGGAAUAGAGGGGAGCUUCCUCAACCUGAUAAAUGCUACAAAAAUCUACAGUUAGUGUCAUAAAUAAUGUUAAAUGACUCAAUGCUUUCCUCCAAACAUCAAGAGUAAAGUUCUACUCUCACCACAGCUAGUCAUCGUUGUCCUGGAUCCUUUAGCCAGUGCAAUAAGGCAAGAAAAGGGAAUAAAAGGCAUCCAGAUUAGAAAGGAAGAAGUAAAACUGUCUUCGUUCACAGAAAACAUGAUUGUCUAAGUAGAAAAUCUGAUGGAAUAUCCCAAAUCAUUAGUAAUUAGAAAUAAUUCAAAAUAAAACAAUAAUGAGGUACAAACAAACACUUAUUAGAAUGGCUGAAAUGAGAAUAACUGAUCAUACCAAAUAUGGGCAAAGAUAUGAAGCAACUGGAACUACCCCACGCUACUCUUGGGCAUGUAAAUAGGAGCAACGACUUUGGAAAACAGUUUCUUAAAAAGUUAAAUGUGUAUCUACCAUAUGACUCAGCCAUUCUAUUCCUUGGUGGGGAGAAAAGACAAUACCUGCCCUUACAAAGACUUGGACAUGAAUGUUCACAGCAGCUUUAUAUGUAAUAGCCCCAAACUGGAAAUGACCCAGAUGUUCAUCAACAGGUAAAUGGAGAAGUAAACUGGGGCAUUUCCCCCCAAAGGAGUUCUGCUCAGCAGUAAAAGGAAUGCACUAUCAAUACACACACUGACAUGGGUGAAUCUCCAAUACUUAUGCUGAGUCAAGUCAGAGUGCACACUGUAUGAUUGCAUUUAUGCAAAAUUUUAGAAAAUGCAAACUAUCCUGGGAGUGACAUGAAGCAGGUCAGAGGUUGCUUGAGAAUUGGGAAGGUGGGGAGCAGGGAGGAGAAAAAAAAGCUAGAUCAAGAUUUAAAGCAACUAAGACAAAAGAAAGAAUCUUGAUGGUGGGUAUAUAAAUAUUCAUUGUAUUAUUUCCUCUUUUCUCUCUCUCUCUUUUUUUGAAUGGCUCAUAAUGAAAAUCAAAGCAGUUUGUAAAAGAAACCACAAUAAGAAUAGCUGUGGGGUUACUUAAAUUGAAGGAGAGCUUUAGCUCUGUAAAAUCUUAUUUAAGAAAAAGAAAAAAGACCUAAAGUGAAUAAGCAAACAUUCAAAUCUGUUUGCUCCCGGUGGUGGGCAUAUAGGUGUCUGCUUAUUAUUUUCUGUGCCUUUUGUUUGUAAAAAUUUUUCCAUAAUUUAAAUAAUAGUUGUUUGUUUAAAAAAAAGUGUCUGUGUAAUAGUAAGGUCGCAUUUGCCCUCUGGGGAAGCUGCUCGUGGCUGGUCACAGAGAUCACCAAUAGAUUUUGCACCCAGAGUUUUUGUAACAGUGAGAAGUGGACAGGAAAGGACAGCGAGGCUGGGGAGAAGGGGGCGCUCCUGCACCCCAUUCCACUGCACACUUUCCUUGCUCUGCAGCUUCUCCAGGAACGCUAAGGGGCUCUCCAAGUUGUCAAUAAACGAAUAAACAUGGGGAAGAGAUACCUCAGUGGUUAAGUACGUCCUCUAUUCCCCUUUCCACACACGCCCUAUUGGUGGUCUCCACAUGGGGGCCUUGAUCUCGAAACCGCAUUCUGAGAGCUGCCUUCUCCCCUGGAUCAGGCAAGUCCAGCACUUUGAGGUUCAUCCCAUUAGCCACUGGCUGAAGUUUUCGAAUAGUUUUCCCAUUUGUUUGGCUAACUGCAGAGAGCACCUCAAAGUAAAAUCUGGUAAACUGUGCAGAAGAAUGUAUUUCUGGAAAAAAUGCAAAGAAGAUAGUUAAAACCUUUUGCUUCAAGUGGUAAGUCCAAGCACAUGUCCCAUUAUGAAAAAACAGAAUUUGAGAUAAACCUCUGAGAUUGUGGAGGGGUGGGAAUGAGGGUAAUUUACCCCCAAAGCUGGAACAGUAAGCUGAGACUUCAGGCUUUGCCAAAUAAGUGUAGAGUCAGCAGGACAGAUUCCGCAUGAAGACUGGGGUGGGGACCGUGAGGCCUUUAAAAUUGUGGCCUUGCUCUGAAUCCAAGGCAAUUUAGGGAAAAAAAAGCCAUCAGAUCCUUUCAUCUCAGCUGGCUUUGUUCCACCCAUCUCUGGAGAGCCAUAUACCAUGAAUUUAUUUGGCAAAGACGGGCAGCGUUAAGGAACGCGUAUUGUCAAUUACUUUCUGCUGUUAAUUACUCCUCAAUAUUGAUAUACUUUUGAAACAAACACUUCAAAAAAAAAAAAAAAAAAGACUGACUAAAAGGCUGAAUUUCUAAGGGGAAAAAAAGUUGUUUUAGGAUCAGACCAAGCUCAUUAGUUAAGCAUCUAUUCAUUCAUUCAUCCAUUAAAUAUUUUUAAAGCACCUACUGUGUUCCUGAUAGUGCUGCCAGUUUCUGAGGUUACCCACAGGACACGGUGGCUGCUUAUAAGAAGAGGCAUUGGGUAAGGAUGUGCUAAGUUUUACUUCCAUUCAAUUCAAUUAAAAACCAGUUGUUAUUUAAACAUUUAUAUAAUUACAGGCAGUCAUUAUCUGGGUUGUUUUCCAAAGGCCAGAUUUGACUCAGUGUGCCUUUGAUUACUGACACAAGGCAGCAGCCACAUGAUGCAUCUCUGCAGAACAAAGCACACCAAAGAAACUCUUACACAGGAGGGUUAGCUCAGGAGAAAGGAACAGAGAAAUAGCUCGAGGUACAAAGCUCUUUAUCUCGGUUUCCAAAGUACAGUGGUUUAACAUUUAAAAAGGCUGCUUUGGGGAACAUUUUCCCCUGAAAGUUUCUUUCACACAUUCACAGUCAGGAAGUACAAUAGAGGCAUGAACAUCUUCCCCUCUCCGGAGAGGAUUUUCCUGCUUGUACUUCUGUAUUAGAUUAAAAUAGCAUUUUACUUCUCUUCAGGCCUGAAGACAGGAUUACAUUACAUGAAGAGUGGGUCUUCUAUUUUAAAUGGGAAUUGUUAACCAGGAGAUAAUGAGACUCCUCUUAACCAGAGAGCCCUCACUGUGUGAAGACUGGCAUCUUAUGACCAUCAAGUCCCCGGAGUAAAUUGAGCCCCAGAGAUCUGUAAAUAUCAACACUGUCACCUCCUUCCCACUUGCACAGGCAAACAUUUUAGUGGUUGUUUUUCCUGGUCAGAUCCAGCUGCCUCCAGAGAUUUUGAUAUUUAUUUCGUUACUCAUUUCUCUCCUGAGUUUCCUGAACUUUUCACUCCUUAAAAGAAAAGGAGAAAGAGAAAUAAACUCGAUCAGAACCCCUUUAGACACCUCUCUGGUUUAAUUUGUUGACAAUCUAAACCUGAUAUAAGGUAAGUCCUGUUAUUUUGUCCCUUAUCAACAUGUUCUGAAUCAUGUUUUCAAAUUCAUGAAAAUGCUAGAAUUGCACCAACUUCUCUUUAAAGAAUUUACAAAGCAAAGUGAUCUGAUAGACAAACUCAUUAAAAAAGAGUAUUGACCACUUGGAUUUCUGAUAUUAAAAAAAAAAGAUGUUAACUGUUAGAAAAGUCAAAGAGUAGCUAGAGGGAUUUCUUACCUGUAUUAUAGAACACAUGAUAAUGACAUUUUAAUGUUAUUUUCUGAUGUUUUCAUUAAACAUUAUAAAGUUAUUAUAUUAUUAAUUAUAAUAAUAUAAAUUUCUAAUAAUAACUUUCACCAAGCGUUAUAAUAUCAGGGCUGCGAAGGCUCUCAUUGAUGGUCCAGCCUCCUUAUUUUGCUAUCAUGGAAUGUGAAGACCACAGAAGUAAAAGCACUUGCCCCGUAUCACAACACUAGUCCUCAGUCUUUCUAUUGCUUUCUGCAAGAUGCUUCUAUCAGAGGACAAAAGAAUCCAAAAAUAAGAAGUCUUCUUUUAAAGUAAGGCCUUAGUUCAAGUGAUGCCUCUUCAGACAGGCCAUCCAUCAGCUUUUCCUUUCUCAGUCUUAUUUAUAGAAAAAGAAUUGAGCUCUUGCUGAGUUUAUGGGUUUGUUACGUUCCAGCGUCUCCUGCACUAGAAUGUCAGCUCCAGAAGGGCAGGAGUUCUGUCUGUUUUGUCCACUCAUCUAUCCUGAGCACCCCGAACAGUGCUUGGCCCCCAGGUCAUGCUCAAUAUGUGACUAUUGAACGAAUACAUGAAACAGUGAACAAGUGAGUGAAAUGAAACCUGGCUGCCACCAGAGGAGAGAACUGAGGACUAAUGAUAGAAGGAACAAAAAAUAAGAUAUGAAAAGGCUGUACGUUACCAUACGGUAAUCAAAAAUAAUAAUAAACUGAGUGGACAUUUUGAGAAUCUUCAUACAAACUGCAUCCUCCCUCCCACCCCAUGAAAGGUAAGAAGAUCCUGGAUAUUGCAAUCUCCCCAACAUCCCAAAACCUUUGCUCAUUAGGGUCAAACUCCUGGCAUUUACUAAUUAAUUUAUACAUGCUAGAUAUCUUAUUAGAAUGAAAGAUGCCCAAGAUGUCAGCACCAGAAGGUGAAGCAAUGGACUAGAACCAGAUAACUCACGUAAUACAUAUUCAGCUCUUGAGUGUCCCAAGUCACUUGAAUAUACAAAUUAGGAUCUCGAGAUGCUGCUAGUAUUGAUAUCCUUUUCCAUAUGUUCCAAAACAACCAAAGUUCAUACGUGUUGCCAGUCAUCUAGCAGUGACAACAAAAAAUUCAAUUUGAUUUAAUUCGAAACAAUUUAAGUUACUGAGCGUCUAAGCAACAAAUUGUUACACUAGGCGUUUUGGGGAGAGGUAUAUGACAAAGGUUAAGUUCUGAUAAAUGUUGGCUGCUUGAUGUAUUGCCUGCUUGGCACAUUGCCUGCAAGACACCAGUGGCAGAUAAUUUUCAUCUUGCAAUCGUGGGGCUGGAAGGAUGGGGAGGAGCCCUUUCUGUUGGAUUAAUAAGAAAAUAAUCAAAUCUGAGUUAAUAAAGGACAAAGAUGUCAGAUCUGAAAAAGAGUUCAAGAGGAAUAAAAGGACUUCCAAUGACCUGGAUGAUAAGCACUUUUUUUUGAGGAGGAGGAUUAGCCCUGAGAUAACGUCUGUGCCCAUCUCCCUCUACUUUAUAUGUGGGAUGCCUGCCAUGGCAUGGCUUGAUAAGUGGUGUGUAGGUCCACGCCCAGGAUCUGAACCUGUGAACCUCAGGCCACCAAAGCGGAACACGCAAACUUAACCACUACAACCCUGGGUCAGCCCCAUAAAGUGGUUUUUAAAAAGGUACAAAGGAUUUAAAGAUUGUUUUCUCAACACUGCUUCUUAAAUAUAACUUUUAGUGGACAACCUUGAUUUUAUGUAAGAUCAAAAAAAAGAGGGAAAGGAAGAAAAUAGAGUUUUCAGAGGAAAAUAAAUGCCAAAGACAGAUGAAGUUUUAGGUAGAUGAAGACAACAAAAAGUCAUCAGAAGGCCCCGUGGAGAGCAGACUCAGCAAGAGACUGCAGACAGGAGGAACUGAAAAUGGAGAGUUUAGCAGCCACAGCAAAGAACUUAGACGAAGACGAGAAAAAGGAAAUUUGUCAUAAAAUUGCAAUGAUAAAAUAGAAACCAAGACAAAUUUUGACAGUUUAAAGGCAUUAUUGGCUUAAGUUUCUUGCAUUUUUAUCUGUUAAAUUAGGUACAAGUGGCUCCAUAAGUAGCAAAAGCCAGCUGGUAAUUAAGAGACAAUUUCUGCAACAAAAUAAACACAAUGUAUGUUGGGAAUAGUGUAACAGACAACUGCUGUGUGUUUGUUGUUGGAUACAGUCCUCCAGGAGGACUCUUGACCCAUUUCUAACAGCAUGGGACAAGUGUAUUAAUCA
ensembl:lncRNA